UGGGGAAUAUUGCACAAUGGGCGCAAGCCUGAUGCAGCCAUGCCGCGUGUAUGAAGAAGGCCUUCGGGUUUUAAAGUACUUUCAGUCGGGAGGAAGGUGGUAAGGUUAAUAACCUUAUCAAUUGACGUUACCGACAGAAGAAGCACCGGCUAACUCCGUGCCAGCAGCCGCGGUAAUACGGAGGGUGCAAGCGUUAUUCGGAAUUACUGGGCGUAAAGCGCACGCAGGCGGUUGAUUGAGUCAGAUGUGAAAUCCCCGGGCUUAACCCGGGAAGUGCAUCAGAUACUGGUCAGGUGGAGUCUUGUAGAGGGGGGUAGGAUUACAUGGGUAGCGGUGAUAUGCGUAGAGAUGUGGAGGAAGACCGGUGGCGAAGGCGGCCCCCUGGACAAAGACUGAAGCUCAGGUGCGAAAGCGUGGGGAGCAAACAGG
rnacentral:rRNA from 1 species